GAAACCUUAUCUUAGAUCGUUCGCAAUCCAGGCGUCGAUCAGUACUUUUUAGUACGAGCGUCCGCUCGGAUGAGGAGAGAGU
ncrna:unclassified sequences RAGATH-10 RNA